UACGGAGGGUGCAAGCGUUAUCCGGAAUCACUGGGUUUAAAGGGUGCGUAGGCGGCGCAAUAAGUCAGGGGUGAAAGGCCACAGCUCAACUGUGGGACUGCCUUUGAUACUGUAGUGCUUGAAUUAGGCUGAGGUCGGCGGAAUGUGACAUGUAGCGGUGAAAUGCUUAGAUAUGUCAUAGAACACCAAUUGCGAAGGCAGCUGACUAGACCUUAAUUGACGCUGAGGCACGAAAGCGUGGGGAGCGAACAGG
rnacentral:rRNA from 1 species